rnacentral:rRNA from 1 species
GAUGAACGUUGGCGGCGUGCCUAAUACAUGCAAGUCGAACGGAGAUUGUAGCAAUACGGUCUCAGUGGCGAACGGGUGAGUAACGCGUUGGUGACCUGCCCCGAAGUGUGGAAUAACAGAUCGAAAGAGCUGCUAAUACCGCAUAAUAUCCAGGAGAUUAGAUGCUUCUGGAUUAAAGGAUUUAUCCGCUUCGGGAGGGGCCUGCGUCCCAUCAGCUAGUUGGUAAGGUAAAGGCUUACCAAGGCGAUGACGGGUAGGGGACCUGAGAGGGUGGCCCCCCACAAUGGAACUGAAACACGGUCCAUACACCUACGGGUGGCAGCAGUAGGGAAUAUUAGUAAUGGGCGAAAGCCUGAACUAGCAACGCCGCGUGUGCGAAGAAGGCCUUCGGUUGUAAAGCACUUUUUGAGAGGAUGAGGAAGGACGGUACGUCUCAGAAUAAGUCUCGGCUAACUACGUG